CGAACGGGUGAGUAAUACAUCGGAACGUAUCCAGUUGUGGGGGAUAGCCCGGCGAAAGCCGGAUUAAUACCGCAUACGACCUAGGGGUGAAAGCGGGGGAUCGCAAGACCUCGCGCUAUUGGAGCGGCCGAUGUCAGAUUAGCUAGUUGGUAGGGUAAAAGCCUACCAAGGCGACGAUCUGUAGCUGGUCUGAGAGGACGACCAGCCACACUGGGACUGAGACACGGCCCAG
rnacentral:rRNA from 1 species